rnacentral:rRNA from 1 species
CCUACGGGAGGCAGCAGUGGGGAAUCUUGCACAAUGGAGGAAACUCUGAUGCAGCGAUGCCGCGUGAGUGAAGAAGGCCUUUGGGUUGUAAAGCUCUUUUGUAGGGGAAGAUAAUGACUGUACCCUAAGAAUAAGGUCCGGCUAACUUCGUGCCAGCAGCCGCGGUAAUACGAAGGGACCUAGCGUAGUUCGGAAUUACUGGGCGUAAAGCGCGCGUAGGCCGUUGAGUUAGUUAAUUGUGAAAUCCCAAAGCUUAACUUUGGAACUGCAAUUAAAACUGCUCGACUAGAGUUUGAUAGAGGAAAGCGGAAUACAUAGUGUAGAGGUGAAAUUCGUAGAUAUUAUGUAGAACACCAGUUGCGAAGGCGGCUUUUUGGAUCAACACUGACGCUGAGGCGCGAAAGUAUGGGUAGCAAAGAGGAUUUAGAUACCCUCGUAGUCCAUACCAUAAACGAUGAUUGUNUAGAUAGUAGUAAGUUAUUUACUUAGUAUACGCAGCUACGACAUAAGUACACUACCGCCGUCGGGAGGUACGACCGACGAACGUUAAACGUAACGAAAGAAAGUUAGUACGGACGUGAGACGUACGCCGAACGGACGACGACGAGGGAGGUAGG